rnacentral:lncRNA from 1 species
CUUCCAAAUGUUAAUCCACCUUCUCCUCCCCUCUGUUAGAUUGCAUCAUCUUCUCCACCAUCUGCGAUCCAGACACUUACCUAUCAACUGGUGCAACUCUCAUCCAAUAAUCGUAUAUCAUCCUCUGAUCCUCCUUGUCAAUGGCCUAACAUGAAUCGAAGCUAAGGCCCAAAUAACCACGUGCAUAACAAAAGGUAGGGAGACUUACCUUUUCUUCAAAAAAAUCAUGGAAAUUCCCUUAUUUCACAUUAUUUU